GCGUGCCUUUCACUACGGAAUAGUCCCGGGAAACUGGGUUUAAUACCGUAUACGCCCUUCGGGGGAAAGAAUUUCGGUGAGAGAUCGGCCCGCGUCUGAUUAGGUAGUUGGUGGGGUAAUGGCCUACCAAGCCGACGAUCAGUAGCUGGUUUGAGAGGAUGAUCAGCCACACUGGGACUGAGACACGGCCCAGACUCCUACGGGAGGCAGCAGUGAGGGAUCUUGGACAAUGGGGGCAACCCUGAUCCAGCCAUGCCGCGUGAACGAUGAAGGCCUUAGGGUUGUAAAGUUCUUUCAACGGUGAAGAUAAUGACGGUAGCCGUAGAAGAAACCCCGGCUAACUCCGUGCCAGCAGCCGCGGUAAUACGGAGGGGGUUAGCGUUGUUCGGAAUUACUGGGCGUAAAGCGCACGUAGGCGGACUAUUAAGUCAGGGGUGAAAUCCCGGGGCUCAACCCCGGAACUGCCCUUGAUACUGGUAGUCUAGAGUUCGAGAGAGGUGAGUGGAAUUCCGAGUGUAGAGGUGAAAUUCGUAGAUAUUCGGAGGAACAC
rnacentral:rRNA from 1 species